AACAAUAGAGUAAAAUAAUAAAUGUAAUGCAAUAAGAAUAUCAGAGUGAAAUAAUAAAUGUAUUAUUAAUAAUAAAAAUAGAGUAAAAUAAAUGUAAUAGUAACAACAAUAAUGGAGUAAAAUAAAUGUAACAAUAAUAAUAGAGUAAAUAAUAAUUGUAAUAAUACCAAUAAUAAUAGAGAAAAAUAAUAAAUGUACCAUAUAUUCUCGAGUAUAAGGCAACCCGAAUAUAAGCCAACCAGGACCUUCACUCGAGUAUAAGCCAAGGGGGGCUUUUUCAGUCCUAAAAAAGUGCUGAAAAACCCGUCUUAUACUCUAGUAUAUACAGUAUGUUUAAUUAUGCUAUUGUCACUAUUUUAUUUUGCUGUGUUACUGUGCAUAAUUGUGUUUUUUAUCUUGAUGUAUUUUUAUCUGCUGAUGUUUAUUAUGUAUGUAUAUUGGUUUUGUUGUGAUUAUCAAGUCCUUUUGGGGAGAUGUAGUACAAAAUUAAAGUUGUUGUUGUUAUUAUUAUUAUUAUUAUUAUUAUUAUGUUUAUUACAUUUAUUAAACUGCCCAAACUUUGUGUCUCCAGGAGGGACAUCAUCCUGUGGCGCAAGCUUGUUAGCAGCCAGCUGCAAUAAAUCACUCUGACCAAGAUGUCAUGAGUUCGAGAUCAGCCCAUGUCGGGGUGAGUGCCCGACAAUUAAAAAAUAAAAUAUAGCCCCUGCUCGUUGCUGACGUAAGCAACCCAAAAGAUAGUUGCAUCUAUCAAGUAGGAAAUUUAGGUACCACUUAUAUGUGGGGAGGCUAAUUUAGGAUACCAUAAAAAUAAUCCAGCCACCAUUGGAAUGAGGAAGUGCCAUUGCAGUGGAUGAUGAAGCAGCUGCUCCCCCUGUGGCCUGAAUCAAGCAUACCCUCAGGAAGCUGGAAGCUGGAGAAGGUUUAAAUUGCCUCUGCGUCUUUCUCUGUCUCUGUUCUAUGUUAUAUGGCAUUGAAUGUUUGCCUUAUAUGUGUACAAUGUGAUCCACCCUGAGUCCCCUUCAGGCUGAGAAGGGCGGAAUAUAAAUACUGCAAAUAAAUAAAUAAAUAAAUAAAUAAAUAAAUAAAUAAAUAAAAUUUGCUAUUGUUUUCAAUGACUAUCUCAUCGUCUCAACUCAUUCAGGAAUGAAAACAAAGUUUCUGAAGUCGAACAACUCUUUUCCAAGUCAGGACCGCACCAUUACACAGGAAAUAACACUUUCAAACCAGGAACAGAACAUUUCCCCCCCAAGUUUUGUUACAUAGUGAUGUUGGAGAAAUGACUGAAUUUAAAUGAAAGGGAUACAGUAGAGUCUCACUUAUCCAAGCUAAACGGGCCAGCAGAAGCUUGGGUAAGCAAAUAUCUUGGAUAAUAAGGAUUAAGGAAAAGCCUAUUAAACAUCAAAUUAGGUUAUGAUUUUACAAAUUAAGCGCCAACACAUCAUGUUAUACAACAAAUUUGACAGAAAAAGUAGUUCAAUACACAGUAAUGUAAUGUUGUAAUUACUGUAUUUACGAAUUUAGCACCAAAAUAUCAUGAUAUAUUGAAAACAUGGAGUACAAAAAUUGCUUGGAUAAUCCAGAAGCUUGGAUAAGCGAGGCUUGGAUAAGUGAGUCUCUACUGUAAAUCAAAGAGGUAAUAGAUGUGGGCAGAAUGUCAGGAUAGAAUCCUUCUGGAACAUGGCAGUACAGCCUGGAAAACACACAACAACCCCGAUUAUUUUUUAAAUAUGGUAAAUAUGGACUAUGAUUGCUUGGGGUGUCACAAUAAUAUCCAUCAGAACACAUAAAGGGAUCGCUUUAGGGUUCAGUUCCCAAAUAGGAAUGGGGAAAGGAUCCCUGUCUCUUUAAAUGGGUGCAAAAGAGGGAAUUUCUUUGCCUGUUCCCUGGUUGUACAGGGAACUGAAAUCCCUCCUAUUGACACCUCUUUUAAAAAGGUACGGGAGCCCCACUUCAGUUUAUACUUUAGCAAGGCCAGUGAGGCCCACACAAGGCUGGAAUGAUGCACCCUGCCUUCGAUUGUGAUGCGCGCAUGGUUCUAUGACAGUUGAGGCUGCCUGUCAUAGUUGAGGCUGACAGUUGAGGAGCCCCAGCCCUGGGGCAAAAGGGUCCAGAAAAGGGCCGAGAGGGGCUUCCCAUGGCCAGAAAGAGAAGCGGGAGAAGGAUGUCCCAUCACCAGGUAAGGGAAGCAGAGGAUGGAGAUCCAACCAGGUAAGAGAUGGAGGGGAGGGAGGAGAGCCAGCAGCCAGGUAAAGGAAGGAGAGUCCAUAUUCAGGUAAGGGAUGAAGAGGAAAGACACCCAAUGAUCAGGUAAGAGAAGAGGAAGGCCACCAAAUGAUCAGGUAAGAGAAGAGGAAGGCCACAAAAUGAUCAGGUAAGGAUGAAGAGGAAUUGCACUCUAUUAUAAUGUCAGUGGUGAAGAGGAAGGACACCCAGUCAUCAGGUAAGGGAAGAGGAAAGCUACAAAGUCAUCAGGUAAGGGAUGAAGAGGAAAAAUACCCAAUAAUCAGGUAGGUGAUGAAGAGGAAGGCAACCAAAUAAUCAGGUAAGGGAUGAAGAGGAAAAUACCUAAUAAACAGGUAAGGUCUGAAGAGGAAAAACAACAAAUAAUCAGGUAAGGGAUGAAGAGGAAGUAUAUUCAAUAACCAGGUAAGAGAAGAGGAAGGCUACCAAAUUAUCAGGUAAGGAAUGAAGAGGAAAAUUCCCAAUAAUCAGGUAAGGGAUGAAGAGGAAGGCCACACAAUUAUCAGGUAAGAGAAGAGGAAGGCCACAAAAUUAUCAGGUAAGGAUGAAGAGGAAACAUACCUAAUAAUCCGGAAAGUGAUGAAGAGGAAGAAUACUCAACAAUUGUCAGGACCCAGGCUGCAGAGCACCAAUAACCUUACACAGAGGCCAGAAUCUAUCUAAUAUCUUUAUUAAAGAAAUAUAUAAAAUCAAUAAAAACAAGUGAAGAAUAUAGUUCAAAAGCAGACCUUUCAGAUAAGGUCAAAUAUAGUCCAGAAAAGUAUUGUCCAAUAUAAGAUAUUAGAGUUCAAAGUUUUAAUCCACUUGACCGAAACACACACUUUGCCAAGCAAUAGUGUGGGGAAAUAACAGAGUCUUUAUAGUCCAAUGAAGCUUGACAACAAGGAUGGAAAUAAACUUGAUUCUUGACUUGAUCCAAGACUUAAAACGAGGCAAACAUGAAGCAUGAAACAAAGUCCGUGGCAAAACGUGAGACAAGGCAAGGCUUGAAACUUGAUCCGGAAAGCAAGGAACUGGGAUUACGAAGUCCACACACGAUCUCUCUCCUCAAGCUGAUCAAUUGACUCCGCAAAGUUUCCCUUGCGACAAACACCUAUAUUGGGUCUCGUUUUCCCGCCAACAGAACUCUUUCCCUAGAGAACGAGAAGCAAAACCCAACUCUGUCCAGAUGCAUGACUCCUUAGAAUUUCCCAAGGGAAGCAGACCUAAUCAGCCAUUUGUUUGGCAGCGAUUCUCAGGCUUCUGCGAUUAGCCUCCCUGACUCCCCUAUCUUUGGUAUAAUUGUCCCUCCGGGAAAACGGGGGGGAGUUCUGCCCAAGGCCUGUUUGGCUGAAUUCUUGAGGGCAAACGUCAACAUCCUGCAGGUGAAGAGACUCCGGCUCUUGCUGAACCGGCGAAAAUCCCAUGUUUUCCUCUUCGUCUGCCACAAUAGUACUAGGAACAGGACUACAAGGCCCAUGAGUCAUCACAACAAUUGGGAAAGAGAAGAGGAAAGCUACCAAAUCAUCAGGUAAGGAUUGAAGAGGAAACAUACAUUCUAAUCAGGUAUGUGAUGAAGAGGAAGAAUACACAAUUAUCAGGUAAGUGAUGAAGCGGAAGUAUAUCCAAUGAUCAGGUAAGAGAAGAGGAAGGCAAACAAAAAUAUCAGGUAAGGGAUGAAGAGGAAAAAUGCCUAAUAAUCAGGUAAGUGAUGAAGAGGAAGGUCACCCUAUUAUUAGGUAAGAGAAGAGGAAGUAUAUUCAAUAACCAGGUAAGAGAAGAGGAAGGAUAUCACAUUACCAGGUAAGGGAUGAAGAGGAAAAUGCCAAAUAAUCAGGAAAGUGAUGAAGAGGAAGGACACCCAAUCAUCAGGUAAGUGAAAUCUAUUCUCCGGAAGCAUCCACUGAAAUGGAAGGAAGGAAGGAAGGAAGGAAGGAAAGAAAGGGAAGGAAGGAAGGAAGGAAGGAAGGAAGGAAGGAAGGAAGGAAGGAAGGAAGGAGGGAAGGAAGGAAGGAAGGAAGGAAGGAAGGAAGGAAGAAAGGAAGGAGGACAGAAGGUUGAUUUGAUUGGGAGGAAAACCAAGGUAGGCAGGAGAAAAGCAGGUGUGCCCUAGAGAAGUGUAUGUAUCUCAGAGUCAAACGCCUGUGUGCAGCAAGAGACAGUUGGGAAGAACCAGGUCUUGGCAUGGACUGAAGAUGGGCCCCGAAGGAGGAGGAACGCCCUGGGAGAAAAGGCAACACUUGCCAGGCACAGGUGACUCUGGAAACGCACGGCUGUUGGAAGAAGCCAAAAGGAAUGGUUUUCCUUUUGCACCAAAAGGAGAGCUGCGUUUUCUCUUAGAAAAGUAAGAAUCCUAGUGAGACCACAAAGACCCUCCUGCCUGAGUCCAAAUGCCAGGAACCCAUGACUAACGCAGCCUUGAGAAGCGGGCGACCCAUUUCCAUGCAGAGAUCUCCAACGGAGAAGAGUCCCUCUUCCAAGGAGUCUUUGGCCACCUUGCCAUGUGGAAGGAGACAUCCCGGCAAGCGGGUGUCAGAAGGAGAGGCUCAGGCAGGUAAGUCCCGAGGGCCCUUUCCGCCAUGCCCAGGGUCGCACUGGCCGCCACUUUUGGGGCCGGGAAGGAAUUUUCCUCCGGGACCGAUUGGCCGAGGACCUCGGAGGUUUUUCGCCUUCCUUUGGGCAUCCGGCAGCGGCCGCCGAGUAGAAAGGUUCACUAGAUACAACUCACUAAGCUCAACUCAGGAAAAGGUGAUGUCUUCGUGAGGGAAAAUUAAGAAAGCACGUGGAUAUGGAAGCUUUGAAAUGGAAAAUCCAGAGGAAGUAGGAAGGCAAGGUCUUCAAGGAAACAAAGAAGAAGGAAACUGUCACCGUUUGGAAACGGAAGAUGGCACACUGCUGGAUACAACUGACUGCAAACAACCAAACAGCAAGAAAAGGUUGGAUGACUGGAGAAAGAUAGACACCCAGUCCUGAAGAGCAUCGCCCUCCAUUUGACAGAAAAGGAAAGGAAAGGAAAGGAAAGGUCUUUUCCGCCAUGCCCUGGGUAGCACUGACCGCCACCUUUGGGGUCGGGAAGGAAUUUUCCUCCAGGGCAGAUUGGGCCCCGGUCCUGGAGGUUUUUCGCCUUCCUCGGGGCAUCCGGCAAAGGUCUCACCAAGUCAGGCUCAGAACACUCUCAGACCAUAGCAGGCCCAUCUUGACCUAACCAACAAAUGAAAGCUAAUUGGAAUAAACACCAUGAAUCUGGAAA